rnacentral:rRNA from 1 species
GACUUGUGUGCGCCGGAUGCGGCGAUCUGCGGCCAAAAGGUCGUUGCGAUCAGCCCGUCCUGGCGCCGUAAAAUUUGCAACUGAGUCUCCGCUGGUCUUAAUUGGUCGGUGGCGUCUACUCGGUUGCUCGUUUACUGUGAGAAAAUUGGAGUGUUCAAGGCAGGCGUGGAUUGCAACUGAACAUGUUAGCAUGGAAUAAUAAGAUAGGGCUCCGGCUCAUAUUUUGUUGGUUUCUAGAGCGUGGGAGUAAUGAUUGAUAGGGACAGUUGGGGGUGCUAGUAUUCAGCGGCCAGAGGUGAAAUUCAUGGAUUCGCUGAAGACUGACUUAUGCGAAAGCAUU